UACGUAGGUGACGAGCGUUAUCCGGAUUUACUGGGCGUAAAGCGCUUGUAGGUGGUUUUGUAAGUUGGGCGUGAAAUCUCUGGGCUUAACCCGGAGAGGCCGUUCAAUACUGCAAGGCUAGAGGAUGUCAGAGGAAGGUGGAAUUCCUGGUGUAGUAGUGAAAUGCGUAGAUAUCAGGAGGAACACCCGUGGCGAAGGCGACCUUCUGGGACGUACCUGACACUGAGAAGCGAAAGCCAGGGGAGCAAACAGGAUUAGAAACCCUGGUAGUCCUGGCUGUAAACGAUGAAUACUAGGUGUAGGCGGCGUAAAACCUGUCUGUGCCGAAGCAAACGCGUUAAGUAUUCCGCCUGGGAAGUACGGUCGCAAGAUUAAA
rnacentral:rRNA from 1 species